rnacentral:rRNA from 1 species
GAUAAGGUUAAGUGAAUAAGGGCGCACGGUGGAUGCCUUGGCACUAGGAGCCGAUGAAGGACGGGACUAACACCGAUAUGCUUUGGGGAGCUGUAAGUAAGCUAUGAUCCAGAGAUUUCCGAAUGGGGGAACCCAAUAUCUUUUAUAGGAUAUUACUUUUCAGUGAAUACAUAGCUGAUUAGAGGUAGACGCAGAGAACUGAAACAUCUUAGUACCUGCAGGAAGAGAAAGAAAAUUCGAUUCCCUGAGUAGCGGCGAGCGAAACGGGAAGAGCCCAAACCAACAAGCUUGCUUGUUGGGGUUGUAGGACUCCAAUAUGGUAGUCUGUUAGUAUAGUUGAAGGAUUUGGAAAAUUCCGCUAAAGAGGGUGAAAGCCCCGUAGACGAAAUGCUGACAACACCUAGGAGGAUCCUGAGUACGGCGGAACACGAGAAAUUCCGUCGGAAUCCGCGGGGACCAUCCCGCAAGGCUAAAUACUCCCUAGUGACCGAUAGUGAACCAGUACCGUGAGGGAAAGGUGAAAAG